ACGGGUGAGUAACACGUUGGAACCUGCCCCAAAGUAAGGGAUAAGCCACCGAAAGGUGGUCUAAUACCUUAUAGUAUCCAUCUCGUAUGGAUUAAAGCUUUAUGCGCUUUGGGAGGGGCCUGCGUUUGAUUAGCUAGUUGGUGAGGUAAAAAGCUCACCAAGGCGACGAUCAAUAGCUGGUUUGAGAGGAUGACCAGCCACACUGGGACUGAGAUACGGCCCAGACUCCUACGGGAGGCAGCAGUAAGGAAUCUUCCACAAUGGGGGCAACCCUGAUGGAGCAAUACCGCGUGCAGGAUGAAGCGUUUCGGCGUGUAAACUGCUUUUAUCACCGAAGAUUAUGACUGUAGGUGAAGAAUAAGGACCGGCUAACUACGUG
rnacentral:rRNA from 1 species